rnacentral:rRNA from 1 species
GAUGAACGCUAGCGGCAGGCCUAAUACAUGCAAGUCGGACGGGAUCCAUUGAUAGCUUGCUCUCCAUGGUGAGAGUGGCGCACGGGUGCGUAACGCGUGAGCAACCUGCCUCCAUCAGGGGGAUAGCCUCUCGAAAGAGAGAUUAACACCGCAUAAUAUCAACAGUUCGCAUGUUCAGUUGAUUAAAUAUUUAUAGGAUGGAGAUGGGCUCGCGUGACAUUAGCUAGUUGGUAGGGUAACGGCUUACCAAGGCGACGAUGUCUAGGGGCUCUGAGAGGAGAAUCCCCCACACUGGUACUGAGACACGGACCAGACUCCUACGGGAGGCAGCAGUAAGGAAUAGUGGUCAAUGGGCGGAAGCCUGAACCAGCCAUGCCGAGUGCAGGAUGACUGCCCUAUGGGUUGUAAACUGCUUUUGGCCAGGAAUAAACCUAAAUACGAGUAUUUAGCUGAAUGUACUGGAAGAAUAAGGAUCGGCUAACUCCGUG